rnacentral:lncRNA from 1 species
AAGGAUGGGACCACGGAGGGAAGCCAAAUAGGGAGUGAAAGCAUAGACCCGAUGCCUGAGAAGAUUCUGGACAUGGUUGAGUCAUGGGGAGAUUCAGGCCAAGAGAAAGGGGAGGCAUUAGAUGGGCGGAGGAUCUGGGCCAUUAUUGCUAGCCGCCCAACGUACAAACGGCAUAAAAAGAGAGGUGAGCAGUGCCUUGUGAAAUGGGAAGGUGAACCGCUUCAUAGAGCAUCAUGGAUAAUGGACAAAAAUCUCCGGCGACACCAAGGCGAGGUGCGCGCAUACGUGUCCAUACUUUGUGCCGAGGACGGCACAAAAUUGGGUGGGGGAAAGUGUCACGACCCGCCGGAUCAUCAUGCCACGUAGGUGCCACUUGACAUAUAUUUUUGCCAUAUGGAAUGGUUACAUAAGUUAGGGACGGGCGGAGGACCGGGGCCAUUAUUGCUAGCCGUCCAAUGUACAAAACUGCAUAAGAAGAGAGGUAAGCAGUGCUUUGUCAAAUUUAAAGGUGAACCGCUUCAUAGAGCAUCAUGGGUAAUGGAUAGAGAUCUCCAGCGACACCAAGGUGAGGUGCGCGCAUACGUGUCGAUGCUUUGUGCCGAGGAUGGCACAAAAUUGGGUGGGGGAGAGUGUCAUGACCCGCCGGAUCAUAAUGCCACGUAGGUGCCACUUGGCAUAUAUUUUUGCAAUAUGGAAUAGAUAGGGACUAGAUCUUGGUGGAAUAAUCCAGAACUAUGGAGAAUUUUCUUAGAAAAGUUCUAGAUAUUUAUGCAUUUUUAGGAAGGUUCUAGAGAAAUAUAGAGGUUCCCUUGUGAAGGCCCUAGAAGAAUCUUGUUAUGUAGAAUAUUCUAGAGUAGGGACUUAAUUGUAAAUAUGGAAGGACUUGUAGAAUAAUUAUUAUUUACAUACUAGUCCCCAGGUGAUUAGUAUAACUAGGAGGCAUUCAUUUGUAAUUCAUCAUCCAAGCAAAACAAUCAAGUUCUCUUUAAUACAAAAGUUUCCUU